rnacentral:misc_RNA from 1 species
GUUAUUAUAGAUUUAUUAAUAUUAACAUGAAUAUUAAAAAUAAAAGCGGUCUUUAUAUAAUAUAUAAAAGGCAUAUUUACAUGAAAAAUAGUGAUCACAACUGCCGACCUACAACCAAGCAUUGGCCACAGCGGGCAAAACACUAACAGGCCAGGAAAAGCCCUAACCCUUGAAGGAAGUCCUCACCAGAGACGCGAGGAAAAACUCCAGAGGAGAGCUUAAGAAAGAUAGAAAUUGGAAAAUAAUUAAGGUUGGAUUAUAUUUGCCCUUGUCAACGAGAGACACUUAUGCAUCAAUGAUAUAAGAAACAAUGACAGUAAUGUCAUCUGAUUUGCCUCCUUGACGAAUUCGUCCAGCCUUGGUAGAAGCCUGUGCAAACGGAGUAAAAGCAUUAUUAUCUAUUGAGAUGUGAUAAGCAUGUUGAGCUAUUGUCCAAGCAACAUCUUGUGGAUCUAAUCCUUGUUGAAUCCCAGCCCUUGCUACCUCCUCAAUUUGAGUUGCAAAUAAGUUAUCAAAUAGCCCAUCAGUACCAGCAAUUACAACAUCUCCAGAUUCCACGGCAAUUACGAACUCCUCUGCAUAACUUGGACUCCUGUCUCCUUCAUCACAUUCCAGCUGAUAUGGGUAAUUGAAACUAUGUUGCUGAAUUGGCGAUUGAUAUAUAACUUCACCCUUUCUAAUCAACAUAAAUCCACUAUCUCCCACAUUCACCGCACGCAAGCUAUUGUCUAGGAGUGCUAUAAUGCAAGCUGUGGAGGAGCCUUGAGCUCUGGUUUUUAAGUAAGCUUCAUACAAGAGUGUACAAAGAUCUACAUUGUCUCCAGGCUCAUUUAGCAGGAUUUUUACAGCAUUUUCCAUGAGUUGUCUAGCAUAUAUUCCAGCAUCAAUACCCUUACGAGAGCAACCGCCCACACCAUCUGCAACCGCAAUUGUUUGCUUCUCUACACAAAUAAAAUGAGCAUCUUCCCCUUGUGGUUUUGAAUGCUUUCCUUUGGCAAUAUAGAACGACCCUGAAACCAUUAUCAAUUUCCCUUUUCCAUGACUAGCUCUACAAAAGCAAUUAAAAACCCAAAAUUACAGUGCAAUUUUGUCCUGUUCAUGUGAAAAUUAUUAUGGAUAAAGAAAAAUAUGAAGGGGAAUAUAAUUCACAUACCCAUCAAGAACAGUUUCUGCCUUGUCAAUUUCAGUGUUCAUGGAAGCCAUUUUUAUUGCUAUUACGGCGCACAGUCAAUGAAGGGAAGAGAAGUUCAUCUUUCGGCUUUUAUAAGCUUAAGAGAUAAAGAAGAAAGACGCAGACGAAUAUUAGCUUAUCCAAUAAGCUACU